UAAAACAAUUAAUAAAGCAUAAAAUACAGCUCUAACAUCCAUGUUUCUUGCAUAAUGCCCCAUUCCUAAAUGCAGUACACACGCAAUGUUGUCAAAUGGCGGAUAUGGCGGUGCUAUGGCAGCGCCAUGUUGCUAUUGCAUUUCCACCACAGAACGCCAUGCCAUAGCACCGCCAUAUCCGCUAUUUGAUAACAUUGUUGGUCGUACAUAUCCACUUGAGGUGUUGUCUCCGUGCAGUAUGUUCCUAUAUUUUUUUGUUUUUAUGUGUUCUUAUUAUGUAGCCUGUAGUUUCAGGGGAUUUAAACAUGAACGAGUUGAUUUUAUGUGUUCUUAUUAUGAUCUUAUGUUAAAAUCUAUAAAGUUUUAAGCUUUUUGUGAUUUUCAUUUGACUUUGAGAGGUCGUUUAUAGGAUCUUUUUAACUAGGUCUAAUCAUCAUUAACUGUCUACAAUGAUCUUGUUGCUCCUUGGAAUAUAUACGUAUAUGUAUCAAAUCUUUUGAAAGGAGUGAAUCUUGAUCUGUAUUAUCUAUUUUGUCACCGCCACCAACAGUCUUGUGUUUUCAAUUUAUCAUCUUGUUUCGUGAAAAUCUGCGAAUGUUCUUCUAUUAUUCCUUUUAAUUUCAGCAUUGAAUUGAUAUAGGACCACAGUGCACUAUUGUUCCUCAAGUACUGAGUGAUUACUGUAAGGAUAGAUGAAGGCUGGGUACCUCGAGGUUUUGUGAUCUGACUAAUUUUUGAUCUCUUUACAACUAUCUGACUAUUUUCUUAUCUCCACUGAAAUAUCUGCAUAUUGGUUUUGUUGACUAGGUCUUCUCUUGCCAAACUUCCUUUUGGAGGCUUUCUUGGUUUUCUCCUGACUUCCUUUGCUGUUUCUGCACAAGCUUUUAUCUCUUUUUUUGCAGUUUGCGUAUGUAUUAAGUUUGUUUGUGGUCUCAAUCUUGGUUGUUUGAAAUCCAAUGUGUCUGACGGUCCAAUUAUGUCGAGUCUACAUAUUAUGCUCUGCUUCAGGAUAAAAACUUAUUGUUUUUUCUCAUUGGGAUUUAUGUUGGUGAUUUUAUUGUAACUAGGAUCAUCUCAAGAUUAUUGAAAGGAUUUUACUCUCACAGUUGCUAUUUAUCUUUGGAUUAAUUGCCAUUUCAACUAUAGAGUGAUAUAAGAGCUAGUUGAUCAGCAGAAUACUUGUUGGUAGUCUCUUCACUUUAGAUUAAUGACACUGAAUCUUGUGCAUGCUGGUCUUUUGAUUCUCUUCUUGUUCACGCAUGGAUGUUUUGGAUGUUGAAAACUACCUGGAAGAUCGAGUGCCCUUGGAACAUUUUUGUUUAUCAGGUUUAUAUUUCCCCGUUUGACCUUUAGACUUGUGGUAAUUCAUUUCUACCUAACAAAGUAACUUCACAAUCUUUGUUACAGUGUGGUCCUGUUAUUACUUCUUGGAUUUAAUUUAAUCAAGGUCACAGAUUUUACUGACUGAAGGAAGUCAAUACUCAAUUGGUGAAACAUUAUGGCUCCUUCUUGCACGGGUAGAGAUAAGGAUCGCCUCAAGGUUUGGUGCGUGUUGUCUUCUCAUUCCAAAUACCGCUACCUGCUCUUCAUUGUGAAUUUUUUGGGUGCUUUGGGUAUUCUGUGUUCUUUCUUUGGCUGUUGAUCCUUAAAAAAAUGAUCACUCUUCAUCUUUGGCCAUCCGAAUCGUUUUGGUUUAUCAUCGCUUUGUUCCCAACAUGGUGUUGUAGCUCUUGUGUUAUACUCAGAGAAGUCUUAUUUAUUAGCUCUUAAUUCUUGAUAGGGCUCAACUGGGCUGCUUGGUGAUAUAUUUUGUUUAGGAUCAUAUAAAGAGCAUGUAAUGUAUCAUUUGUCCUGAUGAUGUUGGUCUCUACAUGCACUUGAACUACAGAGUGCUAAUUUGGUUAAAAGAUUAUCAUAAGAGAUUCAACUGCUUGGAAUAUGAAGUAUUUUCACAGUGUCUUCAUGGUUAGAUUGAAUGUAGUGUCAUACUGGUAUUUUUGCAUAGGACAGAAGCUAUUACUGGACUACUAGUUUUGGACAAAGGCAUUUCUUUUUCUGGGUUUAUAGUAUUCUAAAGAUUUUUCUGCUAAGUUGUUCUUCGUCAGAUCUUAUUCAGGAGGCAGUGGAUUUGUUACUGUUGAUUUAAUAUCUUUAUUUGUUCUCUAGUGUUUCUGGUCGUCUAACCUUCACAGAGUACAUUGGUUUAAUAUCUUUAUUUGUUCUCACUUGAGAUGUUUUGGAUGAUGAAAAUUUCUUCCUGCAAAUUGGAAACCAAGUGUGGAACCAAGUGAAGUUAUGGAGAAGAUGUGGAAAAGAUAUCCCCAAACUAUUUAAGCUGUUUAUAUAUCUGGCAGUAGCUAUAUGAAAAAGUUAUCCCCAAUGUAUUCAACAGUUUCUCAUCAGUUUGUGGAAUAUUGCACUAUCAGCUGGUUGAACCUAAGUUCUAGGCAGGCCAGGUAUAUAUACAUGUACAUAUAUAUGGAAAUGAUCUCUCUUAAACUGUUAAGCAGUCUCUCCCCAGUUUGUGGUAUUGCAACAAUCAGCUAUGUGAACCUAUGUUCUUGGUGGGUCAGUUUACAGGUCAGGAACUCUUUGUUUCAAUGACAUUAUCAGUAUGUUUUUGUCUGUUAUGUUCACAUGCGUCCUUACUCACGAUUAUCAAUUUUUGUUUCUGAAUUUUCUUAUCUUUACUAGCGUGCAAUAUCUAUGAAUGUGCAUGUCUACACUGUACUUAGCUUCUCUAUCCUUUCAUUUUGUGUUAUUCAUUGCCGUUCUGGUGUUGCAAGCUGAAAACUUUUGCUGGAAGUUAGUAUGUCGACUGGUUGAGGACUUCACACAUUUGGGCUUUUUUGUGCGGUGUUAUCUUUUCCUCCCAGCUUUUGAUUUGCAGUCUGAUUCAAGCUAUAAGUUCUUAUACUGUCUUCACCUCCAAUACUUUUUUAAUUUGGAACUACUGCUGCUUAUGAAAUGAGUAUGUGUGUUGAGAGGCCGGAUGCAAGGCCAUUUUGUGGAGUAAAUAGUUUUGAUUUGCAGGUCUUCUAUUCCGGUUGUUUUUGCUCUAGUAGCUUAAAGGUGUAUCAACUUCUCUUUACUGCUACUAUCUUGUUAUUGCUUAUCUGUUUAGUUCCAAAUGUGUACUGUAGCUUCUGAUUGGAAAUAUGUGCUUACCAACUGUGACAUGUUCUAAACAAUUUGUUAUGGGAAGCAGUAGGAUAAUUAUGAUUCUUGUCAAGUGUCAUCCUUUCGUGUAUAUUGCAGAGUAUUUUUUUCCAAUUAGCUAAUUUUCUCUGCUAGUGUCAUCCUUGUUAUUAUGAUACUUAUCCCUGCCAGUCUCAUCCUUUCCUGUAUAGUAGUCGAUUAAUUGAUUUCAUAAUGCUUUCUUUUGACAUUUGUUCUUUGAUUUCUCAACUAGCAUAUUUUCCCAAAAAAAAAAUAAAAAUUAAUUCUCGAUAGGAUAGGGGUUGAUAGUGUUUGUAGAAGAUACUAUCUUUAUAAUUUGUUCUUCUGUCUGUGCCCUGUGUCUUGAUUAGGUCUAACUUUUUGGUAUGUGAUUUUCACCAGUCUUGUUUCAUAUAAAGGUUGUAGUGGAUUAGGACUUCGGUGUCAUACAGUCCCCUUGUAUAUUACCCUAUUUGCGGACUUCAUGCUUGGUAGUAUGCUAAAAUAAUGCAAUUCUAUGCAGGGCCUAUGUUUUUAUUGAUGUUUCAGUUGCCUUCUAUCCCCUCCCUACAUAUGUCUGUCGUUUUUUAAAUCUCGCUGUGUAUUCUUUGUUUUUAGAUUUCAGAUGUUUGAAUCUUCUUGGGUCUUAAAAUGAGCAAUGUGUUGUAAAACAUUGGAAUACUUGCUAUUAUGUGCUUCAUUUCCUGGAUUGCUGACAAUUACAAGUGAUUCUGCUAAGAUGUUUGAAUGGCAUUCUGGAUUUAUUAGGAUUGAUACUUGACCUGUUGUCUUGGUGACUUACUUUGCAGCUUAUUGUUGUGUAUUGCCGCAUUAUGUGUAGUGUUACUUUCCGUGUAACUGUUUCAAAUUACUAUUUGAUUGUAAGAUGAUUAAUUGUGUGUACUGCUUUUCCCUUUUCAUACUUCAUUAGGUAUAUAGCAAAUUUCUACAUAAUUGCUUCAGAUGGCAUAUGAUUAACAUAACUUUUGAAUAAUUUUCAGAGUGAUCCUUGCUAGUUGGAAUAUGGAAUUCUAAUUUUGCAUUAGCUGACUGCAUCAGAGAACCUAGGGUAUUAUGGAAGCCUGCUCUUUUCCAACUUUAUUAUGUGUGUUCUAAUCUUCUUGAAAAUGAUCUUUAUUCCUACUUCCUUUGUUCCUUAAGUAUCAUGUGGCAUAUGGCUGACAUCUUUUGCGUUACUUUUUUUAUAAAUGAUUCAUGUAUUUCACUUAUGGAAUUCUUAAUUUUCAUUGACAAACCAUAGUAUAAGAAAAUGAUUAUGUUGCAUCUGAGAACUUAGGUUAUCAUAGGGAAGCCUGAUUUUGCAUUUAGCUGACCAUAUGAGGAUGAUGUUUUUACAUGGGAACUCUGUAGUGGACUCUUCUUGCUUGUAUGAUCUUGUCUUGAAUCUUGAUUCUGGAUUUCCUUUGCUCUUGCAAAUAAGUUUGCUGUGUUAUGAGUCUGCAUGUGUUUGUUUACCUUUUCUUUCCUUGUAAAAUGUGAGCAGAAAGACAGACAUGAAGAGUUCUAGUAAUGAGGAUUCUCUAAAAUUGUGGAGCAUGCUGUUGCAGGUAAAUAUAUGAGUCCUGGAGUCUCAGGCACUUGAGAACUUUAGUUGACCUAAAUGAAGAAUCAUCUUAUGCUUGAAUUCACCCUUGAUAUGUAGCUGUGAUGGAGUGGGCAAUAUAGCAUAAGGUCGAGUUUGCUAAUUUGAUCUACAUACAUUGAGUGCUCUGGAUAUGACGCAUGUUGGAUAGUUGAGAUUACAAGUUCAUCCUGAUCUAGAGAUGCACGUUUCCCCUUGGUAGCAGUCGAGUUGUGAAGUUUAUUAUCUGUUAUCGUCGAUAGCUCAGUGAUCGUCCUAGCAUAAUUGGCCGUCUCUUGCCCGAAGAUCUUUGAGUCCAUUGACACCCAAUUCAAAAUGGAGCAUCUCGUAGAGAAAAAGUGCUUUGUUCGGAUCUCUGAGCCUCCUCGGGCAGCCCUCCUCUGGAAAUAUUUUGUUUUGAUAUAUCAUGUUGAAUAAAUGAAAAUUAACUAUUAAUUCCAUGAAUCUGAAUUGUAAUGACAAUUAGUUCCAUACCAUGAAUCUUUAUCAACAUGGCCUUUUGGUUUCUAUUGCCAUUAAAUUGAGAAUAUUGGUGCCAAUUUCACUGUCUUACUUUUGUCAAAA